CUUGUAUGUAGUUACGUGUCGAAUUUUUUCAUUCUUUGAUUCAUUACACUCAAUUCAGGUAUGGUUUGCACCAAUUCAAGAGACUGUACAUUAGGCAUUCAAUAUAUAAGACUGGAGUGAGACUGAUUAGGCAUUUAAAUGUGUUGCAGGAUGUUGUUUGAAUUGCUUGUCCUAAUAGGUGCACACGUUGGGAUGGAUUAGACUUCUAUCUUGAGAAAAUGCCAUGAUUUCAGGGCUGCUUUCGCCGGGUUUGAUGCAGAAAUUGUCGCCAACUUCACAGAAAGACAGAUAACAUCAGUGGACACAGAUUACAACCUGGAUUUAAAUAAGGUUCGAGGUGCCGUCAAUAAUGCUAACAGAAUCCUCCAGGUCAGAUUGUUGAUUGGACCUGAUUUUA